CGGGCCCGUAGCUCAGCUUGGAUAGAGCGGCACCCUCCUAAGGUGAAGGUCGAGAGUUCAAAUCCCUCCGGGCCCGU
rnacentral:tRNA from 1 species